UACGUAGGGGGCAAGCGUUGUCCGGAUUUAUUGGGCGUAAAGAGCGUGUAGGCGGCUAGACAGGUCCGUUGUGAAAACUAGAGGCUUAACCUCUAGACGUCGAUGGAAACUGUUUGGCUAGAGUCCGGAAGAGGAGAAUGGAAUUCCUGGUGUAGCGGUGAAAUGCGCAGAUAUCAGGAAGAACACCCGUGGCUAAGGCGGUUCUCUAGUACGGUACUGACGCUGAGACGCGAAAGCGUGGGGAGCGAACAGG
rnacentral:rRNA from 1 species